rnacentral:rRNA from 1 species
GAUGAACGCUGGCGGCGUGCCUAAUACAUGCAAGUCGAGCGAACGGACGAGAAGCUUGCUUCUCUGAUGUUAGCGGCGGACGGGUGAGUAACACGUGGAUAACCUACCUAUAAGACUGGGAUAACUUCGGGAAACCGGAGCUAAUACCGGAUAAUAUUUUGAACCGCAUGGUUCAAAAGUGAAAGACGGUCUUGCUGUCACUUAUAGAUGGAUCUGCGCUGCAUUAGCUAGUUGGUAAGGUAACGGCUUACCAAGGCAACGAUGCAUAGCCGACCUGAGAGGGUGAUCGGCCACACGGGAACUGAGACACGGUCCAGACGCCUACGGGAGGCAGCAGUAGGGAAUCUUCCGCAAUGGGCGAAAGCCUGACGGAGCGACGCCGCGUGAGUGAUGAAGGUCUUCGGAUCGUAAAACUCUGUUAUUAGGGAAGAACAUAUGUGUAAGUAACUGUGCACAUCUUGACGGUACCUAAUCAGAAAGCCACGGCUAACUACGUG